UACGUAGGCAGCAAGCGUUGUUCGGAGUUACUGGGCGUAAAGAGUCUGUAGGCGGUGCUCUAAGUUUGGUGUGAAUCUCCCGCUUAACCGGGAGGGUGCGCCGAAGACUGGGGUGCUGGAGUCUGGGAGAGGAAAGCGGAAUUCCUGGUGUAGCGGUGAAAUGCGUAGAUAUCAGGAGGAACACCGGUGGUGGUAGACGGCUUCUGGAUCAGUACUGACGCUGAGAGACGAAAGCGUGGGGAGCAAACAGG
rnacentral:rRNA from 1 species